rnacentral:rRNA from 1 species
AUACGUAGGUGGCAAGCGUUGUCCGGAUUUACUGGGUGUAAAGGGCGUGUAGGCGGAGAUGCAAGUCAGGAGUGAAAUCUAGGGGCUCAACCCCUAAACUGCUUUUGAAACUGUAUCCCUUGAGUAUCGGAGAGGCAGGCGGAAUUCCUAGUGUAGCGGUGAAAUGCGUAGAUAAUAGGAGGAACACCCGUGGCGAAGGCGGCCUGAUGGACGACAACUGACGCUGAGGCGCGAAAGCGUUGGGAGCAAACAGGAUUAUAUACCCUGGUAGUCCACGCUGUAAACGAUGAAUAAUAGGUGUGGGGGGACUGACCCCCUCCGUGCCGCAGUUAACACAAUAAGUAUUCCACCUGGGGAGUUCGUUCGCAAGAUUGAAACUCAAAUGAAUUAACGGGG